UCCUGUGGCUGGACUAUAAGAAC
rnacentral:piRNA from 1 species